AUAAUGGGUCAGCGACUUAUAUUCUGUAGCAAGGUUAACCGAAUAGGGGAGCCGAAGGGAAACCGAGUCUUAACUGGGCGUUAAGUUGCAGGGUAUAGACCCGAAACCCGGUGAUCUAGCCAUGGGCAGGUUGAAGGUUGGGUAACACUAACUGGAGGACCGAACCGACUAAUGUUGAAAAAUUAGCGGAUGACUUGUGGCUGGGGGUGAAAGGCCAAUCAAACCGGGAGAUAGCUGGUUCUCCCCGAAAGCUAUUUAGGUAGCGCCUCGUGAAUUCAUCUCCGGGGGUAGAGCACUGUUUCGGCAAGGGGGUCAUCCCGACUUACCAACCCGAUGCAAACUGCGAAUACCGGAGAAUGUUAUCACGGGAGACACACGGCGGGUGCUAACGUCCGUCGUGAAGAGGGAAACAACCCAGACCGCCAGCUAAGGUCCCAAAGUCAUGGUUAAGUGGGAAACGAUGUGGGAAGGCCCAGACAGCCAGGAUGUUGGCUUAGAAGCAGCCAUCAUUUAAAGAAAGCGUAAUAGCUCACUGGUCGAGU
rnacentral:rRNA from 1 species